rnacentral:rRNA from 1 species
GACGAACCGUGCGAGCGUUGUUCGGAAUCACUGGGCUUAAAGGGCGCGUAGGCGGCCAUUCAAGUCCGGGGUGAAAGCCCCCAGCUCAACUGGGGAAGUGCCUUGGAAACUGGAGUGCUCGAGGGAGGUAGGGGUCGAGGGAACUUCUGGUGGAGCGGUGAAAUGCGUUGAUAUCAGAAGGAACGCCGGUGGCGAAAGCGCUCGACUGGACCUCUUCUGACGCUGAGGCGCGAAAGCUAGGGGAGCAAACGGG